CCUACGGGCGGCAGCAGUGGGGGAUAUUGCACAAUGGGGGAAACCCUGAUGCAGCGACGCCGCGUGUGGGAAGACGGUCCUCUGGAUUGUAAACCACUGUCCCCAGGGACGAAAAUGACGGUACCUGGGGAGGAAGCUCCGGCUAACUACGUGCCAGCAGCCGCGGUAAUACGUAGGGAGCGAGCGUUGUCCGGAAUUCCUGGGUGAAAAGGGAGCGUGGGCGGGGAUGGAAGUUGGGUGUCAAAACUACCGGCUCAACUGGUAGUCGCACUCAAAACUGCAGCUCUUGAGUGAAGUAGAGGCAGGCGGAAGUCCUAGUGUAGCGGUGAAAUGCGUAGAUAUUAGGAGGAACACCAGUGGCGAAGGCGGCCUGCUGGGCUUUUACUGACGCUGAGGCUCGAAAGUGUGGGGAGCAAACAGGAUUAGAUACCCUUGUAGUC
rnacentral:rRNA from 1 species